AGAGUUUGAUCAUGGCUCAGAUUGAACGCUGGCGGCAUGCCUUACACAUGCAAGUCGAACGGCAGCACGGGGGCAACCCUGGUGGCGAGUGGCGAACGGGUGAGUAAUACAUCGGAACGUGUCCUGUAGUGGGGGAUAGCCCGGCGAAAGCCGGAUUAAUACCGCAUACGCUCUACGGAGGAAAGGGGGGGAUCGCAAGACCUCCCGCUACAGGGGCGGCCGAUGGCAGAUUAGCUAGUUGGUGGGGUAAAGGCCUACCAAGGCGACGAUCUGUAGCUGGUCUGAGAGGACGACCAGCCACACUGGGACUGAGACACGGCCCAGACUCCUACGGGAGGCAGCAGUGGGGAAUUUUGGACAAUGGGGGAAACCCUGAUCCAGCAAUGCCGCGUGUGUGAAGAAGGCCUUCGGGUUGUAAAGCACUUUUGUCCGGAAAGAAAUCCUUCGAGUUAAUACCUUGGGGGGAUGACGGUACCGGAAGAAUAAGCACCGGCUAACUACGUGCCAGCAGCCGCGGUAAUACGUAGGGUGCAAGCGUUAAUCGGAAUUACUGGGCGUAAAGCGUGCGCAGGCGGUUCGCUAAGACAGAUGUGAAAUCCCCGGGCUUAACCUGGGAACUGCAUUUGUGACUGGCGGGCUAGAGUAUGGCAGAGGGGGGUAGAAUUCCACGUAGCAGUGAAAUGCGUAGAGAUGUGGAGGAAUACCGAUGGCGAAGGCAGCCCCCUGGGCCAAUACUGACGCUCAUGCACGAAAGCGUGGGGAGCAAACAGGAUUAGAUACCCUAGUAGUCC
rnacentral:rRNA from 1 species